UUAUUAUUAUUUGUUUUGUGUUUUAUAACGUUCAAUGACUUGUAAGUGUUUAAAAGGUGGGUGCUUGAUUGCGCAAGUCCCAGUUGUAGUGCACAGAGUUGGAGAUGAAGGUCAGGUCCCUCUGAUGAAGAGGACACCCUAAGAUUCAUUAAUGAUCCUUCCGCAGGUUCACCUACGGAAA
rnacentral:misc_RNA from 1 species